UACAGAGGUCCCAAGCGUUGUUCGGAUUCACUGGGCGUAAAGGGUGCGUAGGUGGUGAGGUAAGUCGGAUGUGAAAUCUCCGGGCUCAACCCGGAAAAUGGCAUUGGAAACUACCUUGCUUGAGGGUUUGAGGGGGAUUGGAAUACUUGGUGUAGCAGUGAAAUGCGUAGAUAUCAAGUGGAACACCAGUGGCGAAGGCGAAUCCCUGGAAAAUACCUGACACUGAGGCACGAAAGCUAGGGGAGCAAACAGG
rnacentral:rRNA from 1 species